AAGAACUGAGAUGCUUCUCUCUGGAUUCGCGGACCCUCACCUCAUCCCUGGAACUGCCUUUGGCCAGCGAAACUUGAGAGGAGCCCCGUCCUGAGAAGCUCCAAGGAGAAGGAGGAGAGGGAAAUCCCCACCUUCAGGAUCCAGCCUUCAGAAGUCACCUUCACCAGGCUUUGCUCUGGAGCUGUGAGGGGUCACAGCCCCGGUAGCCCUAUUUCCCCAGCUCCCUGAUAGACAGAGAGGAUGAAAGAAGUCUUCUCACAUGAUGGGACUCUUCCCUGAGCCCCCUGGCUGACUGCUCUGACUCUGAUCAAUCUCUGCGGCUGAGAUGUGAUGGUCCUAUGACCCCCCCAUCCUUCCACAUGCUUCACUUUUCUGAACUCCGAAAGCUUUCUGGCCAUAGUGCUGAUGGGGAUGUGUGGCUCUCAGUUUCUUGUUUUGUCUUGUUUUAUCCCUCCCUCUCCUUUUUCUAACAGCUGGCUGAAUAGCCAGUGCCCCUCACAGGAAGUUUUGGGGUUUGGCUCAGUCCACACUGUUUGUUUGAGCACUUCAAUAUUUAACUUGGAGAACUGUUAAUGAGUUAUGGGAACAAUCAGAACCAGACUGUGAUCAUGGCAAUGGAAGACAACAAGGCCUUGAUCAUCCAGCCCCAACUAUUGGACAGAGGCUGGAAAAGUUUUCUUCCCAUGACUUUUGGCAGUAAAGAUGGGAUGGUUGGGACUCUCCACUCUCAGGGGACUGCUGCUGAGAUCCCCGGACCUUUGACCAUGCCAGCGAAGGUAAACUUUAUUUUACCAGUUAGGAUCCUGGGUCUCCGCCAGACUCUGGCCAAGCAAGGACAGUAAGAGCCUCUCUCUGCCUUUCUGAAAAAGAUUUUCCAAAUUUUUGAUUUACAGAAGGAAAUUUUUGGUUAAAGCCAGUUCUUUGCUGUUUUUAAACAAGGGAGGAACAGCCAAAAAAAAAUCACCCAAGGCAAGAUUAAAGGGACCAGGGAAACUUAUCAAGAUUAGGAGACUGGCCACCUGGGAGAUGAGAUGAAGGGACUGCCAACCCUGCUCACAGCCUGAUUUUGUCCGAGACCCCAGCUUUGAACCACUGUUCUCAAACCCUUCAUCAAAUUCUCUAGGGUGGAGACCACCUGAGACAGGAUUAAGGGAGUGCAGGCCCUGCACACACCCUGAUCUUGAGAGGAACCCCACCCUUAAAUUGUUCCUAUAAAGAGUGUUAGUCCCUUAGUCGUGUCUGACUCUGCAAACCCCCCCGGACCGUAGCCCCCCAGUUUCCUCUAUCCAUGGAAUUCUCCAGGCAAGAGCAGUGGACUGCGUUGCCAUUCCCUUCUCCAGUGGAUCUUCUUGACUCAGGGACUGAAGCUGGGUCUCCUACAUUGCAGGCAGAUUUUUUUACUGUCUGAGCCACCAGGGAAGCCCCUUGCUAUAAAACUCCUUAUCAAAUCCUCCUGGGUUGGGACUUAUGCUUUCUGGGGGACAGGCACCCACCAUGUCCCCCUUUACCUGGGAAAGCAAUAAAGCCAUUCUUUUCUACGUCAUUCCCUCCCAGUCUGCUCCUCCCAUCCCUGAGUUCUUUGGAUAUUGGGACUUUUGUUACAGGCAGCUGUUCUGUCUGUCUUUUGUGCUACUGUUUUGUCUUGUGGUAGCUAAAAGUGUUGUUUCCUGAGAACCUGGUUUUGGUAACUGAAAAGUUUACUCUGGUUUUCUACUUGCUUAAGGUGUUGGAGAAGCCGCUUGAGAGUCCCUUGGACUGCAAGGAGAUCCAACCAGUCCAUUCUGAAGGAGAUCAGCCCUGGGAUUUCUUUAGAAGGAAUGAUGCUGAAGCUGAAACUCCAGUACUUUGGCC
rnacentral:lncRNA from 1 species